rnacentral:rRNA from 1 species
GGACCCGCACAAGCAGUGGAGCAUGUGGUUUAAUUCGAAGAUACGCGCAGAACCUUACCAACACUUGACAUGUUCGUCGCGAGACUAAGAGAUUAGUCUUUUCAGUUCGGCUGGACGAAACACAGGUGCUGCAUGGCUGUCGUCAGCUCGUGUCGUGAGAUGUUGGGUUAAGUCCCGCAACGAGCGCAACCCCCUACUUUUAGUUGCCACCAUUUAGUUGGGCACUUUAAAAGAACUGCCAGUGAUAAGCUGGAGGAAGGUGGGGAUGACGUCAAGUCCUCAUGGCCCUUAUGUGUUGGGCUACACACGUGCUACAAUGGCACUUACAAUGGGAAGCAAAGAGGCGACUCUUAGCCAAUCCCUAAAAUGUGUCUCAGUUCGGAUUGUACUCUGUAACUCGAGUGCAUGAAGCUGGAAUUGCUAGUAAUCG